AUAAAAUGGACUCUUUCUCUGGCAAAAACGUAAAGAGAGAAGUAAACAGAAAAUAACUUUUUAAAGAUUACUUGAGAUUUAUGUGUAAUGCUAACUGAAAAAAAAUGACAUUUUGUGGUACAUUUUGCUACCUCUGGGAGACCAAACACCUAUGACCUUGCUGCACACAUCCACUGAAUCAUUUUGACUGCCAUUAACUGUUUCUCUAUUUUUUCCUUUAUCAAACCAACCCAACCAAGAUAAAGUUUACGCCUUCGCUGAACCUACUCAAACUAAAAUUUAAUGCAAAUCCUAGGUUGUCAUUAGACUUCCAUUUUCUUGUUACUAUCCAGCUCAACAUAGUAAAAAAUGCUUAAGCAGUUUGAGAGAAACAUAUUUUUGGAAAGAUAAUAAGCAUAAUUAGAACAUAGCCUAAUGUAAAAUGUGCAAGUAGAAUGCAUCACCAGUAAAUAUGAGAAUCUCAUGAAUAAAGAUCUACAGGUUCAUUGUGGUUCAAAAACAAGAAGCUAGAAGCUAGCUUUAAAUACUCGUUUAUUGGGUGAAAA